rnacentral:rRNA from 1 species
AGUGAACGCUGGCGGCGUGCCUAACACAUGCAAGUCGAACGAUGAUGGAGGAGCUUGCUCUUCCUGAUUAGUGGCGCACGGGUGAGUAUACCAUAGAUAAUGUACCCCUUAGUUCGGGAUAGCCACUGGAAACGGUGAUUAAUACCGGAUACUCCUUCUCGUUAUAAGACGAGUCGGGAAAGUUUUUUCGCUAAGGGAUCAGUCUAUGUCCUAUCAGCUAGUUGGUGGGGUAAUGGCUCACCAAGGCUAUGACGGGUAUCUGGUUUGAGAGGAUGAUCAGACACACUGGAACUGAGACACGGUCCAGACUCCUACGGGAGGCAGCAGUGAGGAAUAUUGCACAAUGGAGGAAACUCUGAUGCAGCAACGCCGCGUGGAGGAUGACGCAUUUCGGUGUGUAAACUCCUUUUAAGAGGGAAGAUUAUGACGGUACCUCUUGAAUAAGCACCGGCUAACUCCGUGUCAGCCGCCGCGGUAAAAC